rnacentral:misc_RNA from 1 species
AAGUCGUAACAAGGUUUCCGUAGGUGAACCUGCGGAAGGAUCAUUACCAAAGAACAACUGGUUGGGUUGUUGCUGGCCCCCCCUCUCCCUGGAGGGGCACUGUGCACGCCUUGCCAAAUUCACUUUGCUCACCUGUGCACCUCCUUGUAGGCCAGGAUCACCAGAGAGGAAGAAGGGGGGGGGAAACGUGUCUCCUGUCGGAGUGCUCAACUUCUUUCCUUUUGCUUGGUGGAGGGAUCUGCUGUUGUGUCCUCACACGGAAUGGGUAUCUGUGAGAGAACAGAUAUAGACGGCUUUUUCCUUGCUCACGUCUGGCCUAUGCCUUUAUUAAACCUGUAACAUCUGUAUCUGUAUGUGUAUGUGUAUUUGAACAUGUGGGAUAACCACGAUUGUUUUUGAACACCAAUACAACUUUCAACAACGGAUCUCUUGGCUCUC